rnacentral:rRNA from 1 species
GACGAACGCUGGCGGCGCGCCUAACACAUGCAAGUCGAACGGAGCUGAGAGGAGCUUGCUUUUCUUAGCUUAGUGGCGAACGGGUGAGUAACGCGUGAGUAACCUGCCCUGGAGUGGGGGACAACAGUUGGAAACGACUGCUAAUACCGCAUAAGCCCACGAUCCGGCAUCGGAUUGAGGGAAAAGGAUUUAUUCGCUUCAGGAUGGACUCGCGUCCAAUUAGCUAGUUGGUGAGGUAACGGCCCACCAAGGCGACGAUUGGUAGCCGGACUGAGAGGUUGAACGGCCACAUUGGGACUGAGACACGGCCCAGACUCCUACGGGAGGCAGCAGUGGGGGAUAUUGCACAAUGGGGGAAACCCUGAUGCAGCGACGCCGCGUGGAGGAAGAAGGUUUUCGGAUUGUAAACUCCUGUCGUUAGGGACGAUAAUGACGGUACCUAACAAGAAAGCACCGGCUAACUACGUG